rnacentral:rRNA from 1 species
UUAUUGGGCGUAAAGCGUUUGUAGGCGGGCGAGUGUGUUUAAUGUUAAAUCUUAAAGCUCAACUUUGAAAUUGCGUUAAAAACUGCUUGUCUUGAGUAUGGUAGGGGUAAAGGGAAUUCCCAGUGUAGCGGUGAAAUGCGUAGAUAUUGGGAAGAACACUAAACAGCGAAGGCACUUUACUAGGCUAAUACUGACGCUGAGAAACGAAAGGUAAGGUAGCGAAACGGAUUAGAUACCCGUGUAGUCUUACCCGUAAACUAUGGACACUAAACGGUAAAUUUUUAAUUUACUGUUAAAGCUAACGCGUUAAGUGUCCCGCCUGGGGAGUAUGCUUGCAAAAGUGAAACUCAAAGGAAUUGACGGGGGCCCGCACAAGCGGUGGAGCAUGUGGUUUAAUUCGACGGUACACGAAGAACCUUACCAGGAUUUGACAUGCUAGAUAGUUGCUUGAAAGAGUAACGUGCCGUAAGGAAUCUAGACACAGGUGGUGCAUGGCUGUCGUCAGUUCGUGUUGUGAAAUGUUGGGUUAAGUCCCGCAACGAACGCAACCCUUGUCUUUAGUUAUUUUCUAAAGAGACUGCCUGUAAUAAACAGGAGGAAGGUAAGGAUGAGGUCAAGUCAUCAUGCCCCUUAUGUCCUGGGCUACACACGUGCUACAAUGGGAAAGACAAUGAGCUGCAAAUCUGUAAAUUUAAGCAAAUCUCUUAAACUUUCUCGUAGUUCGGAUUGUGGGCUGCAACUCGCCCACAUGAAGUUGGAAUCGCUAGUAAUCGCCAGUCAGCUAUAUGGCGGUGAAUCCGUUCCCGGGCCU